AUCUGUGGACUGGAGUCUCCAGAACUCUGAAGUUUGUCCUCACAGCUAGCACGGCCUGCCAUUGAGACUGUGUGGCUGAGGUGAAGUGUGAGGGAGCUGCCUGGUCCUGGGCUCAGUACCUGGGUUUUCCAAGAUUUUUAUUUCUCUCAAUAACAGUGGAAGAUGGACGGAUGGCGCCGGGCGGUGGUGGGGGUGGGGAGCCUCACCUCGGCAUCUCCCUGGAGUGCCUGCCUCGUGAACUGAGCCACACGGGGGAGCCACUCGGGGGAAGCCACACGGGGAAGCAACAAGGCAAACCACUUCAGUGCCAGGAAAAAUUUAUUGCUCAAGGUCAGCUAGCCACGAAGACUCCCGGUUGUCAUUCUCACCCCCAAGACUAUGCAAGGAGUCGAAAGACUCAUUUCCCCAAAUGGUCUGAGUAAGUGACAGUCACACUCGACAUAAGUAAGUGUAUUAAUUAAAAGCUAGAAUGCCAUUAUGAUCCUAAUCUCAUUAGGGAGAACGCUAUGGCCUCAGGUGUAAACUGCGUAACCAAUCCUGGUCUCUCAUCAAAUCAACAAAGCAAGGACCUGUUAGCAUGGGUAUGCACCUCCCCAAGUGGGGAAACAAAACAAACAAACAAACAAAAAAAUCACACCUUCCUCUUCAUGGAAUUAAAUGGGAAAAUGGCCACGGGUGCACUGGGAAACCUGCAAGAGUGGUACAUACACAGCAUGUGACUGAGACUCAUUAGAAAGCUUCCUGUAUCCAACCUAGGUCGUCUGCAUGUGGAUAAGGAGAGGAGAAUUAGCGUUGUCUGUGUAUGGGGAGUUUAGUGUAUGGGGAGUUUAGUGGGUGGAUCCGCUCGUGAGUGAACCUCACAGGCACUGGGGAUGGUCUGUGAGGAGGUAGUUGUCAGAGAACGAGGGCCUCGGGAGCAGCUUGGAUGUUAUAGCUUGGAAGACUGUGGUAACUGGGGCCGUGUUUGUGCUGGGUUUGAGGAUGAAGGCCCCUCCGGUGUUCUGCCCUCAUAUUCAGCAGGCCUGUCACCAGUCUGCUGGCUGGUACUUGGUGUCUUCAGGCUCUCGGGGGCAGACAGAGGUUUGCUGGCAUUGAAAGGUCUCAUCCCCAAGUGUCGGUACAACACCGUACAGAGUUGGACUCCUGUCAAUGUUCGAUGAGUUAGCCACUGGACCUUAUUUACAGGGUGCUCUGUGUGGGGAAGGCGGAAACGGGGGUCAGUCCACAGGAAGGAAGAAAGGAGUUAACCCUAGCCCUAACCCCCACCGCCAACCCCCCAAUGUGUCCUCAGGUUCUGCAGCCAUAAAUCCACCAACCAGACAUCAAAACAUUUUUUUUUUUUAAAAUAGAGGCUGGAGAGUUGGUUCAGUGGUUAGGAUCACUUGUUCUUCUUGCAAAGGACCUGGGUUCAAUUCCCAGCACCCACGUGGAGGCUUGCCACUUCCCUGGGCACUAGGCAUGCAUGUGGUAC
ensembl:lncRNA